rnacentral:rRNA from 1 species
AGUAAUGUAUGGGGAUCUGCCUGAUGGCGGGGGAUAACUACUGGAAACGGUAGCUAAUACCGCAUAAUGUCUGCGGACCAAAGCGGGGGACCUUCGGGCCUCUUGCCAUCGGAUGUGCCCAGAUGGGAUUAGCUAGUAGGUGGGGUAGCGGCUCACCUAGGCGACGAUCCCUAGCUGGUCUGAGAGGAUGACCAGCCACACUGGAACUGAGACACGGUCCAG